UUAAUCCUUCAAAAAGAAAAAAAAAACCCAUUCAACCCAUUUUAGGCCUUUGUGCCUUUCAAGCUUAAUUUUUGUUAAAACCAACAUACUCACUUUAAAUUUUUUAGCACAAACUAUGAGGUUUUGAUCCCUUAUUUUUAUGUUGGUACGUAGGCAAAAGGCCGAAGGUCUUGUCAAAUACAAAAAUAUAAUUAAUGAAUUCUUUUCUCAUCCCCCCA
rnacentral:lncRNA from 1 species